rnacentral:rRNA from 1 species
GAUGAACGCUGGCGGCGUGCCUAAUACAUGCAAGUCGAGCGAACAGACGAGGAGCUUGCUCCUCUGACGUUAGCGGCGGACGGGUGAGUAACACGUGGAUAACCUACCUAAAAGACUGGGAUAACUUCGGGAAACCGGAGCUAAUACCGGAUAAUAUAUUGAACCGCAUGGUUCAAUAGUGAAAGACGGUUUUGCUGUCACUUAUAGAUGGAUCCGCGCCGCAUUAGCUAGUUGGUAAGGUAACGGCUUACCAAGGCAACGAUGCGUAGCCGACCUGAGAGGGUGAUCGGCCACACUGGAACUGAGACACGGUCCAGACUCCUACGGGAGGCAGCAGUAGGGAAUCUUCCGCAAUGGGCGAAAGCCUGACGGAGCAACGCCGCGUGAGUGAUGAAGGUCUUCGGAUCGUAAAACUCUGUUAUUAGGGAAGAACAAAUGUGUAAGUAACUAUGCACGUCUUGACGGUACCUAAUCAGAAAGCCACGGCUAACUACGU